CGCGGGGUGGAGCAGCCUGGUAGCUCGUCGGGCUCAUAACCCGAAGGUCGUACGGUUCAAAUCCGGCCCCCGCAACCA
rnacentral:tRNA from 2 species